UAUAGUUUAGUUGAUGCCAAGUAGCCGAUAUAAUAACGUCUUUAUUUGAUAUAUUUGAUUAAUCUUAUAAAUGGAUUGACAAUAUUUCUUCUUUCAUUUCGUGAAGAUACAACACAUAAGAACAGAUCCAACCAAGUUGAGAUUUCUCAGGAAGGAAGUGCUAUUCAAUGUUCAUCGACUCUAGACUGCCAAGAUGACAAAUUAAUAUGGUUUAACUCAAAAGAUAUUAUUACGCGAAUUCCAGAAGAGAUUGUUGAAAUUAUUGAUUUUACUCUAUAAUAACAUGGUGUUGAACUUAACAUUAGUGUGAAGGAAUUUCUAGUGAACAAUGUUAAACAGUGUUAAAGCCCAUGGUUUCAAGUUCCAAAAAUGAAUUUCAAUAAGUAUGUGGGAAAAGAAAUGGGGAUGUAAUUGUGUAACUACUCUAUACUUUUGAAAAUCCCUGUCUUUGCCGUUCAAUGUUCAUCGACAUCCGAAUUAUCAGGAGUGUUCAACCUUGGUUACAAGUUUCAAAAAUGAAGCUGAAUGAGUAUGUGGGAUAUCUCCUUUCGUGGGAACCA